UGUCAUUGCUCUUCUGGUUUUGCCCUGAGAUGGAGUUUUCUAUUGUGGUCUUCUUUCCCCAGUAUUGGCAAGUGACAAAAAGGAGUGAUAUGUCAGUCGGUUCCACCUUCCUUCCAUGAAGUUCUGCCUUAAAUAGAGGAACAUUCCAGACAUGCACUUUCCAGUCGAAGCAAGCCAGGAGACUGUUCCAUCAUGUUCAAUCAGAGAUGUCCCAGGGCUUCAUGUUCAGACGUAACUUCGAAAAAGAAGAUGAUUACGUUGAUAAUUGUUGAGUUGAAGUGUUGAGCCUAACGACUACGAUAGAGGCCAUGAUGUCAAUGCGAUGACUAGAAACAUAGUCAUUUCCUAAAGUCUGUCCCUAAUGUCAGCGGAUGCUAAUCAGACGACUUAAAUGUCCAACGCCAUUCAACAGAUCAACGAAUGUCUGAAUGGGACCGGACAAAAAAAAAUGAAAGCGGUCAAAAGCAAAGAAAGUCUACGGGAAGCGGUUCUCUCAAAAUAAAAAGAAAAG